UACGUAGGGGCGAGCGUUGUCCGGAAUGAUUGGGCGUAAAGGGCGCGUAGGCGGUCUUUCAAGCCAGAAGUGAAAGGCUACGGCUCAACCGUAGUAAGCUUUUGGAACUGUAAGACUUGAGUGCAGAAGAGGAGAGUGGAAUUCCACGUGUAGCGGUGAAAUGCGUAGAUAUGUGGAGGAACACCAGUGGCGAAGGCGACUCUCUGGUCUGUAACUGACGCUGAGGCUCGAAAGCGUGGGGAGCAAACAGGAUUAGAUACCCCGGUAGUCCCU
rnacentral:rRNA from 1 species